rnacentral:rRNA from 1 species
AACGAACGCUGGCGGCAGGCUUAACACAUGCAAGUCGAGCGCCCCGCAAGGGGAGCGGCAGACGGGUGAGUAACACGUGGGAACUUACCCUUUUCUACGGAAUAACGCAGGGAAACUUGUGCUAAUACCGUAUACGCCCUUCGGGGGAAAGAGUUAUCGGAGAAGGAUUGGCCCGCGUUGGAUUAGCGAGUUGGUGGGGUAAAGGCCUACCAAGGCGACGAUCCAUAGCUGGUCUGAGAGGAUGAUCAGCCACAUUGGGACUGAGACACGGCCCAAACUCCUACGGGAGGCAGCAGUGGGGAAUAUUGGACAAUGGGCGCAAGCCUGAUCCAGCCAUGCCGCGUGAGUGAUGAAGGCCUUAGGGUUGUAAAGCUCUUUCACCGAUGAAGAUAAUGACGGUAGUCGGAGAAGAAGCCCCGGCUAACUUCGUGCCAGCCGCCGCCGUAAAAC